AAAGCUUUAAUUGUUUUUUUGGUUUUUAUAACCAUCGUCAUCAUCAUCAUCAUCAUCUCACUGUUUACAGCCUACAUGAAGAAGCAAAAAAAGUCCAGAAAGGAUGUGAACGAGGACAUGGAGACUGAGGCAAUCUAUGUUAAUGCUCGACCUCCUGGAUGGAGAAAUCAAUAAAGUCGCCGGUGAAGCAAAACCUGAUGGAGCUGCAGACCAAACCAUCUUUUAUUUUUCUGUUCAGCUACUGAAUUUUUAAUCAUGUAGAAGAUGUUUUUCUUUUAUUGCUAACACAUUGUUAUAAGCAGUGAUUUCCAAUAUUAUGUUUAAUUUUCCUCAUUUUGCUCCAUGU